AAUUAGCCUCUUAAUUGGGGGAUAGUAUGAAUGGUAAUAUUGACCAGAUCCUAAUUUUUAUAUUGUGAAUUUUGAGUAAAGGUGAAAAUUCCUUUAUAAUAAUUUUAGACAAAAAGACCCUAUGAAGCUUACAAUGAAUAUAUAACAAAUUAAUUAAGAAUUGUUUCUUUGGGGAAAAGGUUAACGAUUGUAUUUUUAGAGUGUAAGAUCCUGAGAAGAA
rnacentral:rRNA from 1 species